UAUACACCACCUGCACGCCUUCUAUUAUCCUUUUCGGGUCAGUUGUGCUCACCAACGACACCACCAACAAACGAAAUACUGGGAAAUUCCAGCACAGCGAGUGCCUACAGCAAGGCGGCAGCGGCAACCGACCAGGCAGGAUUACGUCAAUCGGAAAACCGUUCAGUCGCCGACGAACCUCUCACACGAAUUGUGGUAAAAGCGCUUCGAGGUGCCCGCAUACAGAUCGCCAGCCUGAAAAUAUGCUUUGAAAAAAAAAAAAAUCAAGUAGAAAUUAAAUAAAACUAAAGCAAGAAAGUGCAUAUAAUAUAGGCGCUAGGAAAAGAGCAAAAAAUAUUUGUGUAUGUGCUUGUGGGUCGUCUGCAGUACUGUACUGUCAAGUGGAACAACAGUUAUUUUGAGCGAGUUUGACAAAUAUGUGCAGCAGUGUGGUGAAGUGCUAGAAAGUGAAGGCGCAAAGCAAAGAAUUUAAAAAACAAAAUUUCAAUAACAAAAAAACCAAAAAAAAAAAACAAGAAAAAAAAGUGAGACAACCGUGGAAGGAAAUGGCUUAAAAAGUUUUAGACACCAACUUUGCUAAGUCGUGAAUAAUUAAAACAACAACAACUACCCGAAAAACGAAGUCAGUGGGAAAAGGAUUAAAAGUAAGGUAUAUUCCUAACCUAAAUUCCCUAGCACAUUUCGUCGCACACACACGCGCGCGCAUGCCAGCACACCAACACAAACACAUGCAAGCUCGUGUAUGUGUGCCGCGAUGUGGGUAGUGGUGUCGCUAUUGUGUGUUUUGUGCAUUGGCGUUGUUGCAGCUGCAGUUUUGCCAGCAGAAUAGCAGAGAGUUGCAAGCGCUGCUGUUACUGCCGCCGCCGCGGCUGCUGGUGGGUCCAGUCAAAAUACGAGAACUGGUUGCAUGUGUAUUGGUGUAUUGCUGCGAUCUAACGUCGUCGGUGUGCGUGUCUAUAGCUGUCGCUGCUGCUGUUUCGCGUUUUUGUGCCGGCGGGCGGUCGUUCGGUCGGACGGUAGGUCGGUCGAUCGGUCGGUGGGUCGCUUGGUUACUGGAUUGAGCUGUCGCUGUGUGGAUGUCGGUGUGCGCGCUAGCAUUUACAACGUUUCAGUGCUACGGUGUCUGUGUGCGCGUUAACGUGUGCGUGCGCGAAAAUCUGUAUAGUGAAAGAUUUUUUAACUCAAAAAUGGCAAUAUUAGAAAAAUAUUAAGUUGCAUAUUUUAUAAAUUACUUUAAGGUUACUGAAGGUGAGAAAAAUAUGGAAUUCACACAAAAACUAAGAAAAAUGUCAUACAAAAAUGGAAAAAAAUUUUAUUAAAUAAGUGCAAAUAGAGGGAAAUCAGUGAAGAAAUAUACUGCUUGUACUUAUGCACAAACAUAUUUGGAGAAAUUAAUUCAUAAAAUUAAGGGAAAAUUCUAUUUAAGCACAGUGAGGAAAAUCAAGUAACGUUUCCGCUAAUUAUUAAGCUUAAGGGCGUAGAGCUCAAACCAGCAUUCGAUUCUAAAACUGAGUACGGAAAAAUGUGAGCUGCGAGAAAAGAACUAAUUUGCUACAACAACAAAAAAAAGAAAAUGCAAAACAAAAAAAAAAUAAUUGUGCAGUGGUUGGGUAUAAUUUUCUUGCUCUCAGCCAUAUUGCAACGCUCCAACUGAGUCUACGGCAGUAACCGCUGGCAUAGUUGGCAACCAGCAGCGCCUAUUGGCCAUGUGGCUCUAUUCCAAGCGCAUAUAAAAUAUAUUGAGUAACUAUAUAAAAAUAUACCAAGACUUCGCACUAAAUAAUAAACUGCAUUUGUAAAAAAUAUGGAAUGUAAUGGGAAAAUUAAAUAAGCAAAUAAUUGCCAAUACUUAUAGUGCGAAAUUUUCAUCCAAAUUUGAGGCAAGUGAAAAAAACUUCAUAAAUAUGUAAAAAUACAUUCCUUUAGGAAACUUGCAGCGCAAAAACCUGCAAAAUGUGUAUGUGACCAAUUCGCAAACAACCAAGCAAAUCACAUUAAAGGUGGAAAAUUUGUGCAACGAGCGCGUAAAUUCAUUUAACAGUCAGUGACUGACAAACAAAAAGUAUUUACCAGCAACACAACAACAUGUAGAUGUGUGUGUGUGAGUGCUGCGCGUGCAUUUGAAUAAGCGAUAAAAGUUGCAGUAACAUUAAAUUCUGUGUAUGUGUGUAUAUAUAAAAAACGCGGCCUGCAACUAUAACAGAAAAAUAACGUUGCAAGCGGCAUGAAAUUUUAAUAUAAAGUAGUAAAAAACAUAAAAUCAUAUAAAAAAGUUAAAUAUUAAUUAAAUUAUCGCUUCACAGUGAAUUCAAUGCAAAUAAAAAAGUAGAAAAAAAAAAAUAGAAAUAUCAACAAAAAAAAAUGUGCUUUCCAUAUAUUAAAUGUACAUAAAAAUCAUGCAAUAGUAAAAUUGUGAAACAGUUUCAUAAAACGAAAAUAAUUGUAAGCUAUCGCUACUGUAUUUAAAAAUCCAAAUGCAAAACAAAAAUACCGAAAGAGGAAUAAAAAAAUGGGCAAAAAUAUGUUUAUUUAGAUAAUAAAUAAAAUGUCAAUAUUUAGCGCAUAUGGCUAAAAAUAAUUACCAAAAAAAAAAUAAAUAUACUUGGUAAGCUCAAAGUGUAACGAAACUAAUUAAAUUACUAUAAAAUCUUCCGCUAAUUACCAAAAUAACAUCACAUAAAACGCAAAGUUGUGAAAAAAUUCCAUUGAACGCUUCAAAAAUUUGGGUGCAAAACAGAUGAGUAAAAACACUCUUCAAACCAAUUAAGCGAUAAAGUUUUAAAGAGUGAAAAAAAGUAAAUUGUGUUAGAAUAAAAAAAAAAGAUUUAAUAAUAAGAACUCUAUAAACCAACAACAAAUUCAUGCUUAACAUGAAACAAAUUAUACUUUAAAAAUUAAUAUAAAAUAUAAACAAAAAUUGAACGCAAUAAAAUAAAAACAAAACACCAAGCAGAACAUGCACAGGGCGACCAGUUGGCUACCCAAGUGCCAACACGCAACAAACUACAAAAACAAUAGUUUUAUAAAGCGUAAAAAUUAACUUCGUUAAAAGCAUUGCCGCAGCACAGGAAUGGGAGUGGCGCAGCCAAAAGCAUUGCAAAUAUGCGCAACUUGCACAAAUCUACAUCUCAGAUUGUUGGACAUUGCGUAUGAGCAAUAAUCGUCCGCAUUCUAAUGCCCAGCUGCUUCAAAGACACCAGGAGAGUAAUUGAGAUAUUCGUUAAUACUUUGCCGUGGCAGUGUUAGAUAAAUUUAAAGAUACCAAACUAGGCUACAUUGGAAUUAGCGUGAAAUGCCACAGAGACACAACGAGGCAGAAGCGAUGGCCUGGCCACUCAGUCUAACUAUACUGAACCAGUUAAUGGCCGCGUUGCUGUUGAGGCAGUUGACGAGUGAAUUUAUUAAAAAUGCAUGGCAAGUCAUAACGGCGCCCAUGGCGGCUACAACAACAAGCUUAACAAGGCGAAGUACUUGCUUGAAAAGGCAGCAAAUGCAGAGAUAAGUCAGAAUAUCUUUAAAAAAUUGAAAAAAAAAAAAAAAAAUAUAAAAAUAUAAAAAAUUGGUAAAGAAAAAUCUACAACAACAUAUACGAAGUUCUUAAGUAAUGAUUUAAAAUAAUAAAAAAAAAAUACUAAGUUUAACAGUAAGCAACGAAUUACUUUGCCAAGCCAAGUCAGCAAUUACUGUACGUUCAAAAAAAAACUUCUACGUUUAAAGUUCAAUGACAACUGAAAUGAACGCGGAAACCUACUAAAAUUGCGCAUUUGUACAAAGGAAAAUUCCCCAGUUCAAUGCUUGCAUCUGCUGUACAUUAAAGAAUUUCAUAAAUGCUAGAAAAUGCUAAGAACAUAGCUAAACAUGAGUGUCCAGCGCGACUACCAAACGAGAAACAUUACAAAAAAUUGUAAUUCUGAUUGGGAUAACAAAAAAUAUUAAAUAAAAAUAACAACAACAUAAGAUAAUAAAAUAUAAUAACAACAAAAUAAUUAAAAAUAUAUAUGAAAAAAACAUAUUAAGAAUUCAAAGCAUAAAAGUAAUAAAGCUACCACAACAAGAAAAAAUCAAACAACGAACAAAAAUACGAUGAAAAAUAUCAAAUAACAGAACGACUAAAAGCAGCUGCCAAAAAAGUCAAACAAAAGCAACACAACAACAAGAACAAAACAAAUAACAACUUCUUCUAUAAUCGACUAAUCAAAUAUUCCAGUAGACCAGCAAAAAACAUACAAGCAAAUAGCAUACAAAGCAAAGCACAAGCGAAGCAAAAUCGAACUAAUCCAAAAUAGAAACGAAAAAAUACGCAACGAGACGACAGCAUAAACCAAAAAAUCCAUCAAGAUGAGUGAUGACCAAACAACACCCAAUGAUGAUAAAGGUAAGCCAAAGUGUGCCAAAAAUGUAAUAAAGAUAACACACUGCCACCAGUGCAGCAGGUUCAAGUAGGCAAAGCCACUAGAUGGGAGCAAAAAAUGCCGAGGUAUUCAUGUGAAAAAUGACAUAGAAAGCCCGGCGUGUAAUGAUAGGUCAACUGGGAUCAGUUGUGUCGGUAAGUGAGGUCAGAAUGUGGUCAAAAGAGGAAGUUAAAUCGCAAGGUAGCACAUUUUUGGAUACAAGGGGACAUGAAAAUAUUUGCGGAAAAG